rnacentral:lncRNA from 1 species
AUUAAGGGUGUGAGCCCUUUCCUAAGAGGAAGAGAGACCCAGAAGGAGCACUGAGUUCCCUCCAGGACCUUUCCAGCUCUUCCCCCACUUCCCAGGCCAAGGUGGAUCUGUACGGCCCUCCAGGGCUGAGGAGUCCUUCAACAAACAUCUAUUGGACUUUGACUCCAUGCCUGGCCCCGUAUUAGCCUGCAAGGAAAGAAGAUGAUCAGAAAAAC